UGGUUCCCUUGCACUGCGCUUUGCCUUACACCAAAAGCGGGAAAAAAGGCCAAAAGGCUGUAAAAACGCGCCGGUGGGAGAUAAGCGCAAAUGCUCUCUCACUGAUGUGCGUGUUGCUGCUAGUAUUAUUCACGUGUAGUAUUUUGUUCCGCGAGCGCGAAACGGUGUGUUCUUCUUCCCCUUAAAAAUGCACGCGCGAUCGUCAGUGUGUGAGUGUAUUUUCUUCGUGUUGCCGAAAUGUCAGUUGGCAAGGGUGUGCGCCGUCGUGCGUUUGUGAUUACAGGGUUGUUCGUCGAAUGUUGUUUUAAUCGUUUGACACUGAAUUAAGUGAAAAUUACAAUCAUGCCUCAGUAAUUUAUUCCUUUCAUGAUUAGUACAUGGCUGAUAGAUUGAAUAAAUCGAAAAUUAUGUCAUUUGAGAGAUACUCUGUAUAACUUGCCAUUGUUCGACUGAUUUCGGUACACACCGAUAACACUCGUCAACCCUGCAAUUGCAGUACUAGAUGCGUAUCCCCCCACUUUUCCGUGCAAUUGCGCGGAAAAGGGGAUAUUGCUGUCAAAAACCGGACUGCUCACAUUCACACAUGAACCAUCGGUGCACGUGAGAAAAAGAGAGAUAAAACGCUUGAAAGAAAGAGAAAAGCGACCGACGGACCAGAGCCAGCAGCAGCAGCCGCAGCAGCAGCAGCAUCAGUAUCUAUUGUUUCUUGCCACCAACGGCUGCGGGUGCACAACGAAAGCCGUGCAUUAUUGUGCUCCGGCAGCCAAGAACUUUUGUGUGGUGUCCGUGUAACAGUGGCUGUGGGCGAACAAAUCGGUACGGUGCAGAGGUGCGUGUGCAGCAGUAAUAGCAGCAGGAGCAUUAACAACAUCAAUGCCACCUUCGAUCGGGAAGGAAGAUUGAGGUGUGCGCAAAAGAAAAUAAAUCGUUAGUGUGUGCGUGAGUGAGUGUGUGUGUGUGCGUAUGCGUUUGUUCGGGAAACGAUAUGGUGGUACCGCAUCCGUAAUCGAAAAUUGCACCGAGCAUCAUUUCCCACCAUCAUCAUCAUCAUCAACGCCAUCAUUAUCAUACCUGGGUCGGUAUCAUCUGCACCUCGUUCGGAGUCACCCGCACCAGUCAUCGGUGCACGUGCUGCUAUAGCUGUGCCAAUGUGUGCGGAAAUCACUGAUUUGUUGUGUGUGGAAAACAUCACUCGCUAACGUCGUUCCCAACCGUGAGGGAGCAGAGAUCAGUGUUCUACCACCGGUGGGGGGCGGUGUUUGUUAUCGAGUUUAUCAGGUGGUAGAAGUGAAGGUGUGGUGCAAGUGUGAAGCCAGCCGGUGGUAAAGCAGCAUUUUCCUGCAAGGAUUUAGCUUGAUGCUGCUUCAAACCGACAAUCCGCAGCGGCACCAUCGAUAUCACACAUCGUAACCGCCGGUUCAAGAUAAAACCCAUCUCCAUCCUUCGUUGUUCAAGCACCGUUCUCGGGUUUUGAGCAGCCACCGGUCGUCGUCACGAUCAGUCGUCGGCUUACCAGCGCAUCAACCUUACCGGCAGGAUGACGAAGAAGUUCGAGUUCAACUGGCAGAUCCCGGUACCGGAACCGCUCCUCACCGGAUGCGUGUUUGAUCGCUGGACGGAGGAGAAGGACAACAACGAGCUGGAACCGAACUGCAUGUUUAAGGUGGACGAAUACGGGUUCUUCAUCUACUGGAAAAGCGAAGGCCGGGAAGGUGACGUUAUUGAGUUAUGUCAAGUCAGCGAUAUCAGAGCGGGCGGAAUGCCGAAGGACAUGAAGCUGUACAAUCAAUUGUGCAACAAGCACGGUGAAAAUGUGGAGGAAAAAUCUCUGACCAUCUGUUCGGGUACGGACUACAUCAACAUCAACUAUCAGCAUGUCGUCUGUCCGGACGCAGCAACGGCCAAGAUCUGGGUGGAUGGUUUGCGCAAAAUCACUCACAACGGCAAAGCCAACAAUUUCUGCCCAAUGACAGCUCUCAAAAAGCAUUGGAUGAGGUUGGGCUUUCUAGUCGAUCCGCGUGGAAAAGUUCCAGUCAAGGUGGUUGCCCGAACAUUUGCCUCUGGCAAAACGGAAAAAUUGGUGUAUCAGAUUCUGUCCGACCUUGGACUGCCGAGCGGCAAAAACGAUGUGAUCGAGAAAGCUGACUUUACAUUCGAAAAGUUUUACGAACUGUACCACAAGAUCUGUCCCCGUAACGACAUCGAAGAGUUGUUCCGGUCUAUCACACAGGGUAAAGCGAACUCGAUCAAUCUGGAUCAAUUUAUCAACUUUCUGAACGAAAAGCAACGUGAUCCGCGGCUGAACGAGAUCCUGUACCCGCUGUACGAUGAGAAGCGAGCGCUCGAAAUAAUCAACACGUAUGAACAGAACGAUGAAGCGCGGGAAGCGAAAACCCUCACCAAGGACGGACUAAUUCGGUACCUUAUGUCGGACGAAAACGCACCCGUGUUUCUGGAUCGUCUCGACAUCUACAUGGACAUGGAUCAACCGCUGUCGCAUUACUACAUUAACUCGUCCCACAACACGUACCUGUCCGGCCGUCAGUUCGGAGGCAAAAGCUCGGUCGAGAUGUACCGUCAAACGCUGUUGGCCGGGUGUCGGUGUGUCGAGCUGGACUGUUGGGAUGGAAAGGGCGAGGACGAGGAACCGAUCAUCACGCACGGUAUGGCGAUGUGUACCGACAUUCUGUUUAAGGAUGUGAUUUACGCGCUGCGUGACACAGCCUUCGUCACGUCCGACUAUCCGGUGAUUCUGUCCUUCGAAAACCAUUGCUGCAAGUCACAGCAGUACAAACUGGCCAAAUAUUGUGACGAGAUUCUGGGUGAUCUGUUGCUAAAGGAACCGAUCCAAGACUUUCCGCUUGAUCCGGGGGCACCGCUGCCCCCACCGUCCGCCCUGAAGCGAAAGAUCCUUAUCAAAAACAAGCGGCUAAAGACGGAGGUGGAAAAGAAAGAGCUGGAACUGUUCCUGCAGGGUGAGUUCGUGAUUGAGGAUGAAGACAAGGAGGACGCGAGCGCGGUAGUUGAUGUGACAAAAAUAAGCGAGCUUGCGGCCCCGGCGGCAGCAGCAGCGGCACCGGUGGCAGCGGCAGCCGCAUCACAGGACGGUGGCGAAGAGGCACCACCAAUCCAGUACACCGGCUCAACGACGAACGUACAUCCGUGGCUAUCGUCGAUGGUGAACUACGCGCAGCCCGUCAAGUUCCAAACGUUCGAUUAUGCGGAAAAGAAGAAUGUCCACCACAACAUGUCCUCGUUCGCGGAGACGACCGGUAUGAACUUGCUGAAGUCACAGGCGAUCGAGUUCGUCAACUACAACAAGCGGCAGAUGUCGCGCAUCUAUCCGAAGGGUACGCGGGCCGAUUCGUCCAACUAUAUGCCGCAGGUGUUCUGGAAUGCCGGCUGCCAGAUGGUGUCACUCAACUUCCAAACGUCCGAUCUGCCGAUGCAGCUGAAUCAGGGCAAGUUCGAGUACAAUGGUAACUGUGGCUAUCUGCUGAAGCCGGACUUUAUGCGGCGAGCCGAUCGUAGCUUUGACCCGUUCGCGGACGCACCGGUGGACGGUGUGAUUGCGGCAUCCUGCGCGGUACAGGUGAUUGCCGGUCAGUUCCUUUCGGACAAGAAGGUCGGCACGUACGUUGAGGUGGACAUGUACGGUUUGCCGUCCGACACGGUGCGCAAAGAGUUCCGUACGCGCAUGGUACCGGCGAACGGGUUGAACCCGGUGUACAACGAGGAACCGUUUCUGUUCCGCAAGGUAGUGCUGCCCGAUCUGGCCGUGUUGCGUUUCGGCGUGUACGACGAGAACGGCAAACUGCUCGGUCAGCGCAUCCUGCCGCUGGACGGUUUGCAGGGCGGUUACCGGCAUAUCGCGCUCCGCACGGAAGCGAACUUCCCGAUGUCGCUGCCCAUGCUGUUCUGUAACAUCGAGCUAAAGAUCUACGUACCGGAUGGCUUCGAGGACUUCAUGGAUGCGCUGUCGGAUCCGCGUGCUUUCAUGGGUGCCGCCAAGGAGCGGUCCGACAAUAUGAAGGCGAUGGGUAUCGAGGAGACGGGCAAGAAGGACAAGGAGGAGCAGGCCCGGAAGGAGGAACAGCGCGUCACGGAACCGCCGCUCGUGUUCGACCCGAUCACGGUGGAUUCGUUGCGGCAGGAGAAGGGCUUCCAGAAGACGGCCAAAAAGCAGCAGAAGGAACUGGAUGCAGUUAAGAAGAAGCACGCGAAGGAGCGUGCCGGCGUACAGAAGCAACAGAACGCGGCGAUCGAGCGGUUGAUCAAGGGUAAAAGCAAGGAUGAGAUUAAAGCCGACCCGGCGGUGCGCAAGCUGAUACAGGAGCAGAACGCCCAGUGGACGGAAAUGGCCGAACGGCACAAGAAGGAGGAGUGGGAGCUGCUAAAGCAGCAGCUCUCGGACCAGCAGGACAUUCUGCGCAAGCUGAUGGAAACUACGCAGGCCGCCCAGAUGAAGCAGCUCGAAGCGAAACACGAGCGCGAAAUUAAGGAGCUGAACAGUCGCCAGGCGAAGAUCUCGGUCGAAACGUCGAAGGAGGUCGCCAACGACAAAACGCUCAAGACCAAGGGCGAGAAGGAUCGGCGGCUGCGCGAGAAGAAGCAGAACAACAUUAAGCGGUUCAUGGACGAGAAAAAGACUGCCACCAUCAAGCAGAACAGGGAGAAGGAAAAGCUGAAAGUCACCCACGACAAGCAGCUGGAGGAGUUGGCGAACGAUGUGCAAAAGCUGUCGGCUAGCGGCUGUAGGCUUAUUAGUAGCGGCAGUAGCACUAGCAUUAAUAUCGAACAAAAGUCCACGAGCAGCGGAUCGAUACCGACGGCGACGGUAAGCGGUCGAACGGAGACGGUGGCACCACCCGUUCCAUUUCGUAGCUUCUCCACCAUUCCGCCACCGUCCGCACAGCAUCUGAUCCGAUUGAACACGAUCGAGGAAGCAAGAAAGCGCGAGGAAGCCAAACAGUCCGAUUGUCCCUGCGUUUGUUCGUGAAGAACACUAAUGGUGAUUGUGAGGAAGGCCUGGUCUAGUUCUAGGCUGUGGAAUAUGCAUCACGAGGAAGCUUACCGUAGCGUGCCAAAUGCAAAAGUAUUAUUUAGUAAAUCUCAUCGAAAUGUACAAAGUGGACGAGGAGGAAUACAAGCUGGCAUCGAAAUACGAAUUUUUCGCCUAAACAGUGCGCACCUUCUCCACCGUAAGCUCCUCGAUCCCCGGUAGCCAACCGGAGAUAUAUGUUGAAACGGGAAAAAAAGAAAUGCAAAACUACCAUGCACCAUCAUAUCCGCGUGCCAGUGGUGGUGCAUUGUUGCAGUUACUCCAAAGACACUAACGGCGCGAGGAAAACCACAAAGAAAGCAAAACUCAUUGUAAGCCCGUGUGUGUGAACAGCAAAGUGAAAAGCAAGCAAAAGCAACACACAGAUAGAAAUUAUACACACAUAAUAGUAUACAUAAUAGAGAGAGAAACACAGAGACAUACACGUACUUUAUGAAUGAGCGGGAACAAAUUGUUGAAGCGGCGCACCAGGCGCCUCCAUUUUCCAUUCGGCACCGUUUCAAGAGUUGCUUUCCGAUUUUAUUUUACUAUAUUAUCUCACGCGCCAGGUCACACCGCUGCUAUGUGUUCUAACUGUAUCUCUUUAUUUUAAUGUUAGUUUUAUUAACAACUUUUAAGAUCCACCAUACUUUAUGGCUUUUUAAGCGUUACGAUCAAUAUCUAUUUUUCGUUUAUAGUUCGCUGUACAUUUUAAUUUCAGCUGUUUUGUAUCUAUUUUUUCCAUUAUUUAAUUUAUCUCUAUCCUUUCAACCAUGUCAAUUGAUGAAACGUUCUCUAGUUGUUUCUGUUACCAACCAAUUAUGCACCACAUAAUCUUGCCGGUUUUGAUAAAAGAGGCACCGUUAUCUUUCUCCUUCGUUGUAUAGUAUAGCGUUGAGCGAAAGUAAUUAAACCACUAUAAUACAACAACACAAAACAAGUCUCUGGAUAGCAAUGUGUUACUACUACACCGUUUAUAUCAAAUCUUCAAGGAGGUGUGUUAAUAAUCAAUGCGAUUAUGAUGGUCCAAUACUGUUGCAAUCUGAAUGGGUGUGUAGAAGCAAACAUUAAGCCUAAUAAGGGAAUAUAUAUAUAAUAUUAUAAGGACACUGAAAACUGAAGCAAAAAUCCCCCUAGUGAAACAAACUGGGCGUAAGGUGAGGAAACUUCCUGGCAACACAAAAAAAACACACAAACGCACCUUCUCUUUCUCCUUUUGCAGUGUGCGCACGUGCGUGCAUGUGUGCGUGUGUGUUUCGAUGAUUGAUUGCAGAAAAAUAUAUGGAUUAAAGUUCAAAAAACAGAAUAGAACAGAAAUUGAGCCUAGCAAACAAAGAGAACAAAACCAAAAGUAACCAAACAGACCUAACCCCAUUUUUUAGAUAAAUAAGAUAUGCACGGUUUUUUUUUUUGUUCUAAAUUAGAAGGAGAAUUUAGCAAAUGACCCACAGAAAGGAAGGUCGAAACACUCGAUGAAAGAAGGAUAAUAUCAGAAGGAUAAUAUAAAAAUGAGAACCAAAAAAAAAACCAACACACACAUAGACACUUUUAGCAAAAGAUAGAAGUAAAGUCACCCGAACGAUAGCGAAAGAGGAUAGAGUAAAUGUAAAGUUAAGCAACAAAAACAACCAAAAACAAAUGGCAGUAGUUGAAUGUGCAAGAAGAUGUGAAGAAGUGCAAAGCGAUAAUGCAAAUGAUACCAAAUGAAAGCGAUCAUACAGAACACAAAACAAAGGAGAGGAAGUAGUAAAACACGACGCAAACAGAAAAUUGCUGGUUGAUUUUAUAUGUUUUUUUUCGGUAUGAGCACUGGAGUAAUAGAUAUACAUGCAAUACCCAGGCACAUUGUUUUUUUUUAUAGAUGUUUUUUUUUUCGUUUGUAGAAUUAAAAAACCGAACAAUUGGUUUUAGAUGAGAUGAUAAUUAAUUGAGCUGAUCGGGCAGAAAUAGGAGGCAUUUUAAAAACGGUGAGAAAGAAUGUUGACGGUGUGCGUGUGAGUUGUGGGUCUGUGUCAGGAAAGAGUUAGAAUCUAAUACUUAAUUACUGUUUAUUAUGCUAUAACUUGUACACAGUGAACAACACAGACAGAUAGUAAAGUAGAACAAACAAACAAACAAACAAACAAACAAGGAACAAUCCUUGCAACUUUGUAUCUAAGAAUCAAGCUUAACUAACGAAUGAGAGUCAUAUUAGUGCCUAUUUCGAGUGCAGCUACAAACUGCGAUACUUCCCCCCCAUUACUUUGUUCUUUUGGAAUUAGGAAAGGGGGGAGGAAAGGGAAUCGAUCGUGAUGUGGCAGCUCGUUUCCGUAUCCUGCCGUAACUGCAAGCCACGCUACAUGUUACGGUUUUUUGUUUUUCCUACUAAGAAAAACACUCAAACUACUAUUACGGGAAUCGUAUCCUACAAACAGUCGAAGGGCUUCAGGAUGCGUCCAUUUCAUUCAAAUACACACAAACACGCACGCACGCACGCACGCUGGCAUACUCAUGCACUCGCUUGUUAUUGUUGUAACACACUUAUUACCCUUUCUGUUUACCUUAUCCCUACUGCAGUAUGAGAUUGCAUUGUGCAAAUGCAAACACAAGUGAGAUAACAAAGCAAAACCCCUACAACAAGAUCAGAACCGAUCAGGCAUUGUUUCCGGACCCCUGUUCCGUAGCUCGUUGUCCUCGUCGUUCGGGACAUAAAAAGACGGCACGCUGCUAGGACUCGGCUGGGCUGGACUGGUUCGCAAAGUACACUCUAGUCGUUUACGUUUUAAGAGUAUGUUAUUAUAUAUAGUAAGAGCAAACAAACAAACGCAAAAGUAUAUAGCAAACGAGAGGUUACAGAACAGCAAACAAACAAAAGAAAAUAAAAACGGGAAGGAGAGCGGCAAGCAAAACAACAAAAAGGGAUUAGUAAAGAUGAGAAGAAGAAGAAGAAAAACAAAAAAACACACACGAUUAAAGCUAGUUACAAUAUAUCAUUCCGAAUAAGAGAAAUUGUGGUUCGUGUGGGCAAACAAAACUAGAAAAAGGGGGUGUAAAACGAAAAAGAGUGUGAAAAAGAGUAAAGUGAAUAAGCUAUCUUUUGGGGCGGGUGGUAGUACGGGAAGAAUCUAUAUGGUAAACUACCCAAAAAGGAGAUGAGAGCUGUUCGAAGGAGCAAAAACAAAAAGCAAAACAAGCAAACAAAAACUGGAAGGAACUGUUCCGAAGCGUGAGUUGUUUAGUUUAUUUUUUGUUUUCAUUGUAGCACAGAAAGGAAGAAAUAAACAAUAAUAACUGAAAUACGAACGUUACCUCACACCGUUCCUCCGAUCCCCUUUUCCUUUCCUUCCCUCCCCCCCACACGAUGAUGUAUUCCUCGCCCAAAAACCCACAAACACAAACAUCGGUAACGUCCAUGUGUGAACCACCACCUCUGCGCCUUCUCUUCUGCGGACGUUCGUUUCCUGUUUGUCAAUGAACUAAUUGUAAUUACACGAUGCAAACAGAAACAGAAAAAAACGUAAUAUCAUUAAUAAAAAGAAAUCUAUUACGAUAGCAAAAUGCA